CAGUAGCCGCGGGAAUACGUAGGUGGCAAGCGUUGUCCGGAAUUAUUGGGCGUAAAGGGCUCGCAGGCGGUUUCUUAAGUCUGAUGUGAAAGCCCCCGGCUCAACCGGGGAGGGUCAUUGGAAACUGGGAAACUUGAGUGCAGAAGAGGAGAGUGGAAUUCCAAGUGUAGCGGUGAAAUGCGUAGAGAUGUGGAGGAACACCAGUGGCGAAGGCGACUCUCUGGUCUGUAACUGACGCUGAGGAGCGAAAGCGUGGGGAGCGAACAGGAUUAGAUACCCCAGUAGUCCCUGUCUCUUAUAC
rnacentral:rRNA from 1 species